rnacentral:rRNA from 1 species
AUUGAACGCUGGCGGCAGGCCUAACACAUGCAAGUCGAGCGGAUGAAGGGGGCUUGCUCCUGGAUUCAGCGGCGGACGGGUGAGUAAUGCCUAGGAAUCUGCCUGGUAGUGGGGGAUAACGUCCGGAAACGGGCGCUAAUACCGCAUACGUCCUGAGGGAGAAAGUGGGGGAUCUUCGGACCUCACGCUAUCAGAUGAGCCUAGGUCGGAUUAGCUAGUUGGUGGGGUAAAGGCCUACCAAGGCGACGAUCCGUAACUGGUCUGAGAGGAUGAUCAGGCACACUGGAACUGAGACACGGUCCAGACUCCUACGGGAGGCAGCAGUGGGGAAUCUUGGACAAUGGGCGAAAGCCUGAUCCAGCCACGCCGCGUGUGUGAAGAAGGUCUUCGGAUUGUAAAGCACUUUAAGUUGGGAGGAAGGGAAGUAAGUGAAUACAUUGAUGUUUUGACGUUACCAACAGAAUAAGCACCGGCUAACUUCGUG